rnacentral:rRNA from 2 species
CUAACAGGAUUCCCCUAGUAACUGCGAGUGAAGCGGGAAAAGCUCAAAUUUAAAAUCUGGUGGUCUUUGGCCAUCCGAGUUGUAAUUUAGAGAAGCGUCUUCCGCGCUGGACCGUGCACAAGUCUCCUGGAAUGGAGCGUCACAGAGGGUGAGAAUCCCGUCUUUGGCACGGACGCACCAGGGCUUUUGUGAUGCGCUCUCGAAGAGUCGAGUUGUUUGGGAAUGCAGCUCAAAAUGGGUGGUGAACUCCAUCUAAAGCUAAAUAUUGGCGAGAGACCGAUAGCGAACAAGUACCGUGAGGGAAAGAUGAAAAGCACUUUGGAAAGAGAGUGAAACAGUACGUGAAAUUGUUGAAAGGGAAACGCUUGAAGUCAGUCGCGUCGACCGAGACUCAGCCUCGCCUUGGCUUGGUGUAAUUCUCGGCCGACGGGUCAGCAUCAAUUUCACCCCUUGGAUAAUGGUGAGGGAAAUGUGACACCUUUACGGUGUGUUAUAGUCUCUUGUCGCAUGCAAGGGUCGGGAUUGAGGAACUCAGCACGCACCUUUGGGUGUCGGGGCCUUUGCCCACGAAACGUGCUUAGGAUGUUGGCGUAAUGGCUUUAAACGACCCGUCUUGAAACACGGACCAAGGAGUCUAACAUGCCUGCGAGUGUUCGGGUGGAAAACCCGUGCGCGCAAUGAAAGUGAAAGUUGGGACCUCUGUCGUGGGGGGCACCGACGCCCGGACCAGACCUUCUGUGACGGCUCUGCGGUAAAGCAUGUAUGUUAGGACCCGAAAGAUGGUGAACUAUGCCUGAAUAGGGUGAAGCCAGAGGAAACUCUGGUGGAGGCUCGUAGCGAUUCUGACGUGCAAAUCGAUCGUCAAAUUUGGGUAUAGGGGCGAAAGACUAAUCGAACCAUCUAGUAGCUGG